AGUGAACGCUGGCGGUAGGCCUAACACAUGCAAGUCGAACGGCAGCACAGUAAGAGCUUGCUCUUACGGGUGGCGAGUGGCGGACGGGUGAGGAAUACAUCGGAAUCUACUUUUUCGUGGGGGAUAACGUAGGGAAACUUACGCUAAUACCGCAUACGACCUACGGGUGAAAGCAGGGGAUCUUCGGACCUUGCGCGAUUGAAUGAGCCGAUGUCGGAUUAGCUAGUUGGCGGGGUAAAGGCCCACCAAGGCGACGAUCCGUAGCUGGUCUGAGAGGAUGAUCAGCCCCACUGGAACGGAGACACGCUCCAGACUCCUACGGGAGGCAGCAGUGGGGAAUAUUGGACAAUGGGCGCAAGCCUGAUCCAGCCAUACCGCGUGGGUGAAGAAGGCCUUCGGGUUGUAAAGCCCUUUUGUUGGGAAAGAAAAGCAGCAGGUUAAUACCCCGCUGUUCUGACGGUACCCAAAGAAUAAGCACCGGCUAACUUCGUG
rnacentral:rRNA from 1 species